GUGAGACCGUACUCCCCUGUGACGAUGGCCUCUUAGGUGGUGUGAGGCGCGGAGUAUUGGUCAGCGAGUUUUAACCACAAACGUGGCUUUAAAGUCCAAACUCUGCUCCUGAAAUUGAUAACCAAGGUGGGUUAUCAACUGGUGUAUCAAUCUCCGUUUUGGAAUCGAACCCGGGCCUCGUCGAACACAAGGUAGGUACUUCGACGUGGUAGAAUUGCCGGUGUUAAGAAACCAGAACGGAGUUUACAAUUAAGUAGGCUAAAUAAAUGGCAGAAGGCCCAAAAUAUUAAAAGAACGAAAUUGUUAACAAAAAAAUA